UACGGGGGGAGCAAGCGUUGUUCGGAAUCACUGGGCGUAAAGCGCACGUAGGCGGAUUGUUAAGUCAGGGGUGAAAUCCUGGAGCUCAACUCCAGAACUGCCUUUGAUACUGGCGAUCUUGAGUCCGGGAGAGGUGAGUGGAACUGCGAGUGUAGAGGUGAAAUUCGUAGAUAUUCGCAAGAACACCAGUGGCGAAGGCGGCUCACUGGCCCGGUACUGACGCUGAGGUGCGAAAGCGUGGGGAGCAAACAGG
rnacentral:rRNA from 1 species